rnacentral:lncRNA from 1 species
AUGAUAUGGACAGGAAAAGGUGUCCAAGGAGUUUGAGGUCAAUUUGGAAAAGGAAAAUAGCACUUGCUUCACAAUGUGCCGUUUAGGGCACAAUAGGAAAUGAAUUAUUUGAGCAAGAUGAUAAACAUGACAAAUGAAAUAUUUUGCCAUAUUUGAGAAAUAUAUGACCCAAACAAUUUAUGAGAAUUAUUUGGGAAUUUUUGGAGUGAUGGAAUUAAAGGUUGCUUCACAACCUAGGGUAGACAUGGUUAUUCCUUUAAUAGAAAAAGGAAUAUUCCUAAGAAAAAGAAAUUAGGUUUUGGUCAAACAGUGGAGUGACUUGAUCUUGGCAAGGUUUUGAGAAUGAUGAGCCACUUGGGAGGGAAAAAGAGGAUGAUUUCCCAGGUGACAAGGCCACAGAACCACUCCAAAAAGAAAAACAGAGCAAAACCAAUAAAUCAAAAAGAAAAAGAAAAGGGCCAAAAUCCAGGCUGUUACAACUCUCACUCCCUUAAAGAAAUCUCUUCCUCGAGAUUUAGUUGCUCUGGGAACAAGUAUGACUUGAGGAUACCGUUUCCAACUCGGAUAUCCUUUUUCCUUUAAUUAUUAUUCCCCCAAGAAUUUCAGAUGAUCAACUUACCCUGCCCUCGGGUGGAUUGCUCCACCUUUCCCCAAAUUCUAACGGGUUUUUGCUCACACACCAAAUCCUUUUGCUGAUGUUGAUUCUUUCAUAUCUGCGGUGAUAUCCAAUGGAUCUGAGCAUAAAUUUCCUUUUGUCAUGAAAACCUUUUUACUUCUAUCAUGGGGUUGCUUCAAAUAAGUGCAAGCCUUCUGGGUUCAAUAAAUACUUAGAAUUAAUCAUGGCCAUCUUCUAACAAGAUCUGGCUGCUCAUAGGUGGUACUGAUUCAUCUUGAUUUAUUUCCUUUGGCUCGAGCAUGUGGCAUAUACCAGAGAUUUGACUGCCUUCUGUCGUGACCAAUAUAACGGUGUAUGGAGUUAUAGUUAUGUCAUACCUCAAACAUUUACAUCUUGAGACUUUGCCCGACAGGGGCUGACGGACAAAUGCUUUUCCUGAUAGACAGACCGGGUACUUGAUUCCGUCGGCGAGUAUACCGGGUCUGAGCUGAUUAUUCGGCUUUUGACUUUCUUAUUUUGUCGGUAUACCCAUUUUUGGUAAUACACUGUGAUAUGUUUUAACAAUGCCGCUGAGGUCAAUCAUACAAGAAGGUGACAAGAGUUCAUGAGAUCCCCUUGUAGGUGCGGAAUAUUGGCCUUCGUGGUCAUUGUUAAGACUGUUACUUCUGCGAUGUCAUAUUCAGAUCUUGUCGAUCCUUGCAUCACAUAAGGUGUGUAUCUCUGCUUAUCUUCAUUUGCAUGAUUUAUGAGGUUGUUGGGUCCGUACCUUUCUUAGGUAUAUCUGCUGAAUUAGUGCCGUAUCCCAUAUGAGUGACCGAUCUGACCCGGGAUACAUGCGUACCAUAUGUAUAAUAAUCAUACCCAGCUGAAUACCAUCUUAUUGCGGCAGGCAUAUGUUUUGACUGAAUUGUUCCUCUGACAAAAUUAUUGCAAAUCUGAUCCUUGAGAUGUACUGCCAUAUACUGCCAACUCAUCAUAUAAUCUCUGAGAAUAGUGCAUAGUGUGGUACUGACGCGGACUGGGUGGCUUACGAGGGAAGCCAUCCGAGUAGCUUGCUGAGGAAGACUCUUAGAUUCUGCUCGAGGCUUUUGUCUGGGUAGCGUGCAGAAGAAAUCUCGAUAGCUUACACACGAAGCUUGGUCGGAUUAUUGUGCUAGAGAAACUUGAGUUCCGUACUUGAGAAGCUUCUCCUCGGGUUUUUCUUGUUGAGAAAAAUUCAUUUCUGUCUGUCAAAAGCAUUUACCGAGGUAUCUUGUUGAGAAAGACCGGGUACCGUGGGCCGGAAAUUGUUCACAUAUCAUGCUGAGGAAAAUUUUGAGGAGCCUUGCAAAUUUCUUCCGAUAGCGUGUGGAAUAAUGCUGGGUUUCUUAUAUCCAAAACUUCAUACUGAUAUGCAGACUGAAAUCCAUGCACACGUCCAUAAUAUUUUGCGGCUGAUUAUUUGCAUGAGAAAAUUUGUUUGACUGUCUUCCUUGAGCAUAUCACAUCCCGACUUUCUCUUGGAGUAUAACAUAUUUCAAGUACCAUUUAUUGAUGAGCCAAAACUUUGCCUAUGAUCCAUACCUUUGACUGAAAAAUAUACCGUUGGUCUUGCAUCUGACUUGUCUUUCUGCUGGCUGGAUCAUUACUGCUGUAGAAUUGAUGCGGAUAAUCAAUCCAAGACACAAUUGGCAUUCUGAGCAGAUAUUCCUUAUAUCAUGCGGUUGACUGAGAAGGCCAUAAUGUUUAGCUGAGCUUCUUCCAAAUAUUUGAAAUACUUAUUACUUCUUCGAGUCCGGUGUCAGUUGAUAAGCAACUCUUUAUAGGGGGAAAAUAAUGUAACACUCGGGCCCAAAAAGAAAGAAGCAAAAGAAAACUCAACUAAACAAAAACACACAACAACAAUCAAUUCACACACAAUCAAUAUCACAUAUUACUGCUAGUCACAAAAUAUGCAUGCCUACUUAAGCACACAAAUCUCGUGGGAUCUCCGGCUCUACGAUCUAACAUGCUGUGACAUUGUGCACGAGGUCGAAUAAAUGUGUGGAAGAAUUGGUGUAAACAGCGCUACACCAAGUUCCAGCUUAGCCAGGUAGCAACCUGGACUAGCUCAGAGGUGAGGACGCACUCGGUAAUCAUGUAGCAGGAAACGAAGGUCGCAACCAUAUUAUUAUCAAGCGGACGGAAAAAGAUCCAUACUCGUCCAAGAAAUAGGAUAGCGGAGAAAAAAAUUUGAGGCUGCUGACAUUGCCCUUUCUUGAUAACUACGAUCAUUAAGGGUUGCCAAAAUGACAAGAAAAAGGACGAUCCGGGAUAGAAGCAUGUCUACCACCGAAACAAAAGGUGGGGCUGAAGGAAAUAAUUCGGCGCGAUACCUGAGCACCAUUUUUGCAAACAGUGUCAGGAUCACUUUGCAUCACUCUGCUGGGACAGAAAUGACACCAAACACCGAAGAAUGAGCAAGAAAAGAAACGGGAAGAAAUGCAGGAGCUGAGCUGUAGUGGAUCCGGACCGAUGCCAUCUACACUCACCAGAUUAAACCGUUAGUAAAAAUACUAAGGCAAUAUGCAUGCUAUGCAACAAACAAAUGCAGCAACCUAAUGCGACAAACAAGACAACCUCUAAACUACCGAUUUCUACCAGUUUCUACCGCUCACGCUGACUAGGGCGUCCAACAGCCAGACCUGCUCUGAUACCAAGCCUGUGGCACCCCGGCUCAGAGAAACCGGAAUGCCCCGUAUUCCAGCCCAAAGAUCGAGGAGAAGUCUCUGGAAUACGGCACUGCUUGACAUAGAACAAAUCAGCUCUAUUACAAGAAUAAUAAUACAAGGGUCUGAUGUUACAAAGAAGCACAUCAGCACGGCGACACUACGCCUGCGAUACUACACUUGCUCUAUGCUAGCAGCGAAACAACUCGUAGCAGCGGAAUACUUCUAGCAGCGGAACAACGACGAAGGUGGUGAACUCCACUCCGCAGGGACUCUGGCUGGGACACGAUCUAGCUCGCACGAAUGGCAACCUCGACAAGCAAUCAAACAAUCACAUCAUCACCUGCAAUCUGGCAUGACACGCCAGGUCAGUACAUUGAAUGUACUUGCAAGCUCACAACAACAAAAAACAUCAAGGCAAGACAACAACAUAGCAUUAAGCAGGUUAAUUAAAUUGACAGCUACCAUGAUACAACAGCAACUACUAAGCAUGAUAUGAAACUACUCUGAUACUGAUAAAUCACCAUCUUAGAUCUCCAUAACCAUAUCUCUCUUGGCUCACCGGCCAAGCAAUAUACCAUCUCGAUCACCUCGUGAUCAAAGCCAAACGGUGAUCUUUCCGGCGAUCACAACCAUGACCAACACUUGGUCUCAACAUCAUCAUCAACAUCCUGCCAAUCUGUACUGCUCAAAAUAUCCACAUAUAAAUCACCUAUAAGUCAUUCCGUCAUGUGAGUGUUGAUCGAACGGUGGGACCUAGUACGAACACAUGCCCAUGACCGAGGACGCGGCUAUCGAUAGAUUAAAUACACUCUGCAGAGGUAGCACAUUGUACCCACACCACGGAACCCAUGACCUCGCACUCCCAUUCGGGUGGACCAACGGUGUUCCGACAAAACCGAUCCACUACCAUGACACUCUCCCGGCCACUCCGACUCACUCCCCACUGGGCUAGUCCUGGGUGGCCCCGUGUCUACCAAAGACACAACGGCCACCGUCGUGGCCAAAACAAUAAACGGUCCCACACAGGGACAACCCAGGUACAAAAACAACAACGGGCACACAAGGUUAUGUCUGCUUACCGGGCCAGGGUACCGCACGCCCAUAACCUUCCCUAGUUGGAGGCACUGGCGAGAGGCACGACAAUAGACCGCAUUAGGGCCUUCCCAUAAAGGCAAAUGUGGUUGCACUGGAGAAAGCCCGGUUCGGUGACACCUGACCAACUUAAUGACGGAAUUUAUCCCCAAAAAUUAUAACUGUGAUACUGAUACUCCGAUAUCAACUAUCAAGCUAUAAUCCAAGUCAUAGCAAUAUCCAACAAAUAAUCCAAGAAUAAUAUCAUCAUCUCAAAAUACUCGAAGGGUAGCACAACACUACUGUCAUGAUGAAUCCGAAAACAAUAAUCCUGCUACUCCAAUAACAAGAAUAAAUCUAUUCGGCUAAGAUCCACAUGUAAACAUCAUCUCCGAAAAUAAUACUCCAAGCAACAGAACAUCAACUAGCAUCAUGAAAAUAAUCAUACUAACCACUAAUAAUCCAAAGGUAGCAUGAUAUCCAAAGUAAUGCUCCAAAAUAUAAUAACAGAUACCAUCAUGGAAAGAAUCAUAAUAGCCACUAAGAAUCCAAAGGCACAUAUCAUCCACAUAAUCAUCAAAAUAUAAGUCCUAGUACUCCAAGCAAUAUCAUGGCAUUAGCAAGAUCAAAACAAUACUCCGAGAGAUGCCAUGAACAAAUCACAAGUAGCUAGAACAAUAUUUUAAACAAGUUUAAAUAAAGAAACCAUGUCACUGCAUUGCAAUCAUGCAAAUGGAGGGUGUCGCUUGCCUGGGUGGAAGAAAUCACCGGGAGAAAGUGCGAGAAACUCGCGGAAAGGAUCGCCGGAAAUCGUACUCUCUCGGAGGGGGCUGAAUAAGGGCAGGGGCAAAAUGGUCAUUUUCAGAAUGUCAAAACAUAAUGAAAAUGAUUCCAACAGAACGGGCUCGAUGAAACGAAUAAAUGGGCUUUGGAAUCACCUCAUUUGGAGUUGGGAGUAAAAAGAUAUAAGGGUUUUUCUGCCAGGGACCUAUCUGUGAAAAGUUUUCUGCAAACCAGCCCCUGACUGAGAAAACUGAAAACGCAUUCGGGCAAAAUACGCUUUCUGCAAAAGAAAACGCACUUUCAGCCGAAGUAGACAGAGAAUACGCUUUCGAACAAGGAAAACGUAUUCUGCUCUAGAACAGAGGCAGAGUACGCUUUGCUCAAGGGAAACGUCCUCUGGCAAAGACGCGUCCACUUAGCUGACUGGACCGGGCAGGGUCAACGCCCAGAGGCUAACACGCGGGGCCCGCGGCCAGCUGGCAGGGAGGGGGUCGGGGCCUUCGUCUCCUUCCUCUCGCCCGCGCCUGGCCGCGGCAGAGCCAGCCCUGGCGAGGCCUGCCGGCGCUACCGACCACCGCAGGCGGCGCCCGACCUAUCCACGGAUACAGGGGAACGAGGCGGAGGCGACCCCGGGGGUUGUAGAAGAUGGGGAGCUCGAGAACGGCAGCUGCGUUCGCCGCGGUGGACGGCCGGCGUCGGUGAUGAUGAAGCCGAGGCCAUGGUGGAUCCGCCGACGAAUUGAGCUAGGGGAGAGAUGCGCCGGGGAGUUGGUGGAGACGUGGUGGUGGAGAGAGAGGGAGGGGAUGCUUGGCUCGCUCGAAUUUAUCCGGAGCACCGCGGCAGCCAUGGCGGCCUAGAGCAGCGAGGAGGGGCUCUGGAGCUUGGGCGAGAGGCUGGGCGGGGUUCUUGGAGUGAGGGGGAGGCGAUGGAGAGCUCGGGAGGGACUCGGGUGGCCUUAUAUAGGAAGAGGGGGAGGAGGCCGAGCUGGCGUCGCCGUGGACGCGUGGGCACACGCAUGGGCUCGUCAUUAGGCGACGGAGGAGGAACAGGAGAGACUCUCACGAGGCAGAGGAGGCCAACGAAGCACGGGGAGGAUGACGACGGCAACGAACAGAGCCAAACCGCUACUAUGCUCUCGUAGGUGUUCGGCGGCGAGUGUCGGUGAGGAAGCGGACGGAGGGGGAGAGGGGUCUAGGGGAACUGCGACGAUGAGAGGAAGACAAUGGACACGGUCACGUGCGCUAAGGCGACGAGAGGAGGAGGUGCCGAAGCACAAACAACCACUGGGCGCGGCCACUGCUCACACAGAGCGCAUGCACAAUGAUGCCAUUAAUGCGGUCACCGCGUGCACUGGCAUGUAGAGGGGCGGAGAGGCUUGUACAUGUUGUCUAGUGGUAAGUUCAUCCAGGGUAGGUUUCAACUACGGUGGUAGCUUGGUUAAAAGUGAUAUGGUUAAACGGCAAGAACCCUCUGAAGUUUACUGCAGUAAAUUUGGGUGAGCACUAGUGAUCAACAGGAAGGGUUUUGGAUCCAAUGGAGUUGUCUGCGAGGUUGAGGUAAAGAAGGACUUUCAUCCUGGUAACAUUGAGAAAGUUUGGACCAAGAUAAAUCAUAGUUGCUUUACAACUGACCAAAAUGGUCCAGAAACUCGAUCAGGAAGGUGCACUCACAUGGAGUGUCAAAUUGAGCUCAAAUUGGGCAAGGAAGAGUCAUUUGGUCCUAUGAAGAUGCUCAAAAAGUCCCAUACCAAUUAGCCAAGCCAAACUGGUACUUGCUUCACAAACAUCUCCUUUGGACAGAAACUUGCAAAAAUUCUAGAGGCAUAAUGGAUUGAUGAUCCAUUCCCAAAAUGGGUGGAGGUAGGUUAUAUGUAUAAUAGAAGGCCUAGAAAAAUUGGCAGCCAUAAUGGAGCAAGAUAAAAUACACUUGCUUCACAAACUAAAAUUUUGGGCAGAAUCAAAGAAUUGAAGAUGAACUCACAUGGAGGCAUGAAUUGAGCUCUACUUUGGUGGAGGGCUACGAUAUGAUGAUAUGACGGAUCAUGCAAAAUGGAAACUCAUUUGGAUAUGCCUAGCUUGCACCUCCUUCACAAAGCUUCUUUCUGGGUAGAAACUUUGGAAAAUCAUAAUUAAAUAAUUUCUAGGCAAAUGAGGUUGCAUUUUGGCAUGUGGCAAUGAUAUGGACAGGAAGAGGUGUCCAAGGAGUUUGGGGUCAAUUGGGAAAAGGAAAAUAGCAGUUGCUUCACAAUGUGCCAUUUAGGGCAGAAUAGGAAAUGAGUUAUUUGAGCAAGAUGAUAAACAUGAAAAAUGAAAUAUUUUGCCAUAUUUGAGAAAGAUAUGACCCAAAAAAUUUAUGAGAAUUAUUUGGGAAUUUUAGGAGUGAUGUAAAUAAAGGUUGCUUCACAACCUAGGGCAGACAGGGUUAUUCCUUUAAUAGAAAAAGGAAUAUUCCUGAGAAAAAGAAAUUAGGGUUUGGUCAAGCAGUGGAGUGACAUGAUCUUGGCAAGGUUUUGAGAAUGAUGAGCCACUUGGGAGGGAAAAAGAGGAUGAUUUCCCAGGUGACAAGGCCACAGAACCACUCCAAAAAGAAAAACAGAGCAAAAC